CGCCGUUUCUAUCUUCUUCGUUAUUUUCGUUUUUUUUUUUUGUGAGUAUCAAAGGCUGUUUAUGAUUGCACAAGUACUGGGACAUCCCUGUAAAAACAAUUGGGGAAUCUGUCUAAUAAUUUUAUGUGCAUAUAUCAAAAUUAGGGAUCCGCUUUGCAGCUUAUGACCCGACCCGAAUCAGUUUCGGUUUUUUUUUCGUGUCUCUGCUGCCAGUAAUCUCCUGAAAUUCACUUUUCAUCAUGAAGCCUUAUUGUUUCACUUGUUUAGUUUUUAUUCUGUUUAUCAGAAGUUUUAUUAAGAUCUCAGUUUUUUUCAACUUAAUAUUUUCUACUUGAGACAACCAUUUGCAGCCUUUUGAUUUUGAUUAAGAACCCAAAAUGUAACAAGUAAAAUUUGGUAAACUAG
rnacentral:sRNA from 1 species